CGCCGACAGGGGGGGACAAACGGGUCUGUUGUCCCGGGCCCAGGGUUGGGGGGGGGCAUCCAGCACCCCACUCACGGCUCCUGACGCAGCAUGCAGGCACCGCGCCGCUCCAUACUGCUCCGCGCCUCCCCAUCGCCCGGUCCUACACUGCACGAAGGGUCAACACUGGUUCACAUCGACAGUGGCGUCAUGAAAGUCUUCUUCACCAGGUUCACCCACCUCGCUGGAGAACCUCAGAGAGUCGAAGCCCCGAAGCUGUCCGGCUCUGGAGCGACGUUCACAAACAUCAGGCUGGAAAGAUUCAAACACCAGGUUCAGAGAUGCCCAUUUCCUUACAGGAGCAGGAGGUUGAUGUCCACUGCACUGAUUAUCAAAGUGUGGCACAGCAGCUCCCUCUAGUGGAACAAGAAGGAAAGAACAAGAGAAACUCAACAGUUCUCUGUCAUGGAGAGUGAAAGCUGUGGAGGUUGUUAUUUACUGUGUUUCGAGGAGAUAAGAGAUGCUGCACUGGCUGAUGAUGUGUUCCAAUCAUGAUGGUGGGGUUUCCAUCACUCACCAUUUUCUCAGAGACUUUAAAAGGCUUGAAAAACAUUUAAACAAGUGGAAUAUGGUGUAGAACUCUCCUCCGUUACAUUAGUUUAGCUGGUUUAGCCAGCAGUGGAAUGAUCGUCCUCCUGGAUUCAGAUUAUCAAGCAGCAGGAAGCUGAUCAUGAUCAACUCACGUCAUGCCGUUUCCUCCCAAGCAUCCCUGCAGGAGGUGGGUCAGCUUGGACUUCCUGUAGGGAAUGUGGCUCUCCUGGAAGAGAAGCAACAGUGAAGCUCAACCAGCGACCUUCUCUGAACGAUGUCUGCUUCACUUUAGAAGAGCAGCACGGACCUUGAUGGCCAGCGCAGAGAUGACGAUGCUCAGGUUGGACAGGGAGCCGUUGAUGGCCGUCAGCUCCUUGAAGCGUUCGCCCUGCGACCGGCUCUUCACCAGAGAUGGGAAAUAACGACGUACAAGUAACGAAGUACCUUUUUUUGGUAUCUGUACUUUACUGAGUAUUUAUUUUUCUGAGUACUUUUUACUUGUAUCCGCUACAUUUUAACACAAGUAUUUGUACUUUUUACUCCGUACAUUUUCAAAACAGGCUCGUUACUUUUAAUGCACGACAACGAUUAAAAAAAGAAUUAAAAUGUCUCCACAGGCUCCGCCAAUUGUAUGAAACAUUACUCACGGUUCCAUACAUCCCAACUUGUGAUUGGCUCGCUGUCCAUGAUCGUUCUUUUCAUUGGCUACAGUAGGGGUGUCCUCAGAUAGUCGACGAUUCGUUCGAAGGGGCCUGAUUCGACUGCCAGUCACGCAGUCGAAGCAUCGAAAAAAUGUGGUUAUUAAACGAGGACCAUUCCAUCACAGCUGUAUGGGGGUGCUGAAUGACUGAUUCUACAUAGAAUUGCUUGGUUUUUUUCCCCAAAUAAACAGGAUAUAAAGCCUAUUUGAUAUACAUGUUAGCCUAUCAAAUAUACUGUGGAAAAAUUUACUUAACUUGUAGUUUUAUUCAAUAUUCUCUCUAUUUAGUGUCUGUGAAUCAACCACCAUGGUGAGUGGCACAAUCCCAUUUAGCGCAGAGCUCCGUCACAGAGCAGCAUCUCGGUGGUGAUUUGGCUGAACUUUAAAAGUCUUACAAUGUCGGAAAAAAACAGAACUUCAGACCAAGUCAAAGAUGAUCCAAAAAAAGUCAAAUGCAGAUUGUGUCCUUUCAUAUCACUUCACAACAACAUGGCUUUCCACCUUAAACGGGUAAGUAGCCAGAUAAUUGGGCUAUUAAGACGGUUCUGUUACUCAAUUCUCAUUUUUAAUGCUGACUUUUAUUUCGUUUAAUUGUAAUAUUUUAGGUUAUUAUUAUAUUAUUUUUAUUUAUCUAAAAGGCUAAUUCUAUUUAAUUUAGUGUUUGUUUUUGCAUGGAUGUUGCGCUGCGAAACGGACUGACACAGUGCAAUUAAGCCUGUUUCAUUUAAUUUGAGCAGAUAAUGUGAG
rnacentral:lncRNA from 1 species